GCGACUUCAAUGGGCUCAAAGGUAGGUGAUUUUCAAUAAUGUUUACCCCCGUCUCUCAAUAAAAAAAAAUAAAACAGGAAAUUACAUACAAUAAACGAAUAACCCAGAAAUGUGUCUGUACCAUCUUGUCCUUCAGGUCUAGACUUAAACACCCUCAACUUAUGACGUCGCUUUUACAUUUAGAGGUUCUUCGGUGAUAUUAAUUGACAAGCAAAGAUCAUAAUAUCAUACUAAUAUAGAUCAUAAUCGACAACCUGUUCCGCAAAGCUGCCACUAGGUGGCUACAUCCGCCUCUUCUGCCUUCUUCACUGGUAACUAGAUUUAUUGGAUCUCAUAAUGUAGGGGAAUACUUGAAUGUAUAAGUGAGAAACCGACUGUAUAUUUUCUGACAGGCGCUCAGGUUCACAGCAGACACUUCCUGGAGGGAAAGGCUUGAUGAACCACAUCACCCAGAAUGCAGUGCGGCCACACCACUUUCUCUCGGACAGUACUGACCAGCUACCGCGGAGUUUCCAAACAUGACCGAGUGUCCGAGCUUCCAGUUUGGAAAACCACGCUUCAGCCAGGACACAUUUGCUGGUCGAUUCAGACACUUCCUGGAUGUGAUCGAUCCCACCACCCUAUUUGUGACUCAGAAACAGCUUCAGGAGUCAGUGGAGCUGCUUGAUGGCUUCAAACAAGGCACUCUUCCUCCAGAUGUCCCAGACUCGCAGCUUUGGAAGGCUCAGAAGAUAAAGCAGGCCAUCAUCCACCCAGACACCGGCGAGCAGAUCCUCAUGCCCUUCCGCAUGUCAGGCUUCAUCCCCUUCGGCACGCCGGUGGUCGUCGGUCUCCUCCUUCCAAAUCAAACGCUGCUGUCCACCAUCUUCUGGCAAUGGCUGAACCAGAGCCACAAUGCUUGUGUGAACUACUGCAACCGCAACGCCUCAAAGCCCACUUCAGCCUCCAAAUUCCUGCAGGGCUACCUGGGAGCAGUGACCAGCGCGGUCUCCAUUGCUGUGGGACUCAACGUGCUGAUUCAGAAGGCGAACCGCUUCAGCCCGGCCAGCCGGCUCCUGAUACAGAGGUUCAUCCCGUUCCCUGCAGUGGCGAGUGCAAACGUCUGCAACGUGGUGCUUAUGAGACACUCGGAGCUGUCGGAGGGCAUCGCCGUGCUGGAUGACGGCGGGAAUGUUGUCGGAACGUCUAAGGUGGCUGCUCGCCAUGCGCUGCUGGAGACCGCCCUCACCAGGGUGGUCCUGCCCAUGCCAAUCCUGCUGCUCCCACCUGUGGUGAUGGCUUUCCUGGAGAAGGAUCGUGUGUUGUGUGAGGUGGCGGCAAUGAUGUCACGGCGAGGCCUCGUUCCUCCUGUGAUUGAUGAGCUCACCGCCGCGGCGCUGCAUCCAGGAAUGUGGUCCCCCGCCUUGGUCCAUGACUGCACUUGUCUGGACCAAUGAGAGCGGACGUGCUGAGGCAACGGGGGCCAGCGCCCAGGUGUGUUUAUGAUUCCUGGCAGCUGAGUGAAUGAAUAGGAGGAGAGAAAGUGGGCUGGGGGGGUUACAGGUGAGCCUUAAAAACCCUGCUCUGCUCCAUGUCAGCUUCCUUCACUGGCACUCAAUGGAGCGAGAAGAAGGGGACGGAGGCGGGUGGACGGUCUGGACCCUCAAUGAUGGAUCACACUGUUGAGAGCUGGUCAAGCCCCUGACAGCUGCGCACACCCUCAUGUGCUUUACGUUUGGACUUCACUGUGCUUCGGUUGGUCGCUAGUUUUCCAUCGAAAAAGCCGUGUUUGAAGUGGCAGUGAGUGUUUGUCUGUUACUGACAGACCUAUAUGGUUUAUGUGUUGAUCCAGCGGCCACUUUAGCUGCAACAUAUUACAUGGUAACGGAACCACAGCACAAUGAUGAGGUGUUCACAAGCAUGGUUACAGGUCUCACAAGGUCGACUUCAGUAGCACGCUGAAAGUGCCCCAUCUGAAAGAGUCUAGACCAGGGGUCAGAGACCAAGGCUGUAAAACAAUAAAGUAUAAUAAUCAUAAUGUAAUAACCAUCUUAUUAUGUUUGAUUUUUUUCUUUUUGUGACACCAUUGGUAAUUAUUGUGAAAACUGAGUCGAGUGUUUGAGAGGAAUAUCGAUGAUCAUUCAUUGUUGAUGGUGAUUUCACCGUACUGAACCGAUGGCAGCCCCUCGGGUCACACAGUGACCUUGGAGUGGCUGGCGGUUGCUGGAAGGUUGGUGACCCCUGGUCUAGACAGUCCCUUGUGUUCCUGUCUCUUUAAAUACCCUUGGCUGUGCCGCACUUCACACACGCCCGCUCAAUAUUCCUGUUCAGCAAAUCUUGUUUACGUGCGCCACAAUAUGCUUCUGCUGUCGACUGUACUCUGCCGCCAAUGAAACCUGUGGCUUCUCUCUUUCUAUGUUCUGGAGAAACUGCCAAUCAAAGUGGUCCAAACGGCGCGGUGGAGCGGCGGCUGGCCCGUGCACUGCAGCUCUCACACACCUCUCACUUUUCUCCCAUUCACGUUCCCCUUUGUGGUGCCGCUCUCUCUCUCUCUCUCUCCCUCGCUCGCUCGCUCGCUCGCUCAGAUCCGCCAAACUGUGUGUGUGUGUGUGUGUGUGUGGAGCCUAAUUAAAGCAUGGCAGCCAUACGUGUUAAUGAGCUCCCUCAUUAGGCAGCGGUUCUCCUCGUUACGGGUGAAGGCGUCAGCGGCGGAGGAGAGACAGAGCGGCUCUUUCUCAGGCCCCUGCUGGGUUCACUGUCCCACACGGUGAUGAGGGGAUUAUUCAGGAGGGAGGAGCAGUGUAUUCCUGGUCAUCAGCCUCCCUGAAGACCCGGCUUGUUCACAUGAACCCAGAGUUCUUCCUCAACACCAGGCUGGUCAAACAUCUGCAGUGAUCCUGGGCUCAGCGUCCUGACAGGAAGCCUCUCAGUCUGGUGCUUCAUUACACCUGAGGCAUCGUGAAGCUCUUCAGACCUGAACACAGAGGUGGGCACUUCAUUUCCUGAAGGGCCACAUUCUAAACGCCGACUGUUGUGAGGGGCCAUCAUGCCAAAAGAAAGGCAGCGAUAACUACGAAACGUGAUGGAAAGAAAAUCUUAACAAGGACGAAAUGAACCAGACCACGUCGAAGAGUAAAUAUGGCAUUUUAAAAGAGCAGAAAUCAGUAUAAAACUAUGGACCAAACAUCGAAGGUAAAAAGGCAAUUUAUUUCCAACUAUAUUUUGAAUUUUCUUUCAACAAAAUAUGAGGAAUGUACUAUAAUGACCAACAAAAAGAAGAAACAAAACAAUUGUGAUGAAUUUGUUGUAUUUACUGUUGAACUAGUACUGGCUGAAACAGAAACAGGAUUCAAAAAAUGACAACAUGUCAGUUGCGUAGUUUUAGUCUGACCCCAUGAGGGCCGCAAAAACACAGGCAAAGGGCCACAUAUGGCCCCCGGGCCGUACUUUGCCCAAUUCUGCCUUAACAGGUUGGAAGUGCUUCCACACCUUGACGAAGCGGCUGCGUUGUUUUCAUGUAACUCAAGUGUCAGCUCGUCUGGCAACACAGGUUCGGCUCACUCGUGGUCCCAUAAUGCUCUGCAACGGUUUGAAACUAUGAUGCCACAAAAACAUGCAAGUCAGAGGGAGAGCCCCGUUUUGGAGGCCAUACGGACUGAAGAGGGAUGAAGGUGCGAGGAAGAGGCUGAUGGAAAGGUGAGAAGACGAAGAGGCUCGAUGCCGUGUCCAUAUGCAACUGCCACUCCGGCACUUGUCGCCUCUAUACACGAUGAAGCCUGCUGCGAGGAGCAGAGUGUGAGAGCAGAGUGUGAUAGAUUAGGACUGCUUCUAAAUAUGGCUGGUAACACACAAUGCUUUCUAACAUGACGACAAAGGCCAUUUCCUCAUGGUGUCUUUCAUUUCAGGAGGCUGCGAGCGCUGCAGAGACAUCCACGGCUCCUUCUCCCGCUCCACAGCCUGGUGUGUCUCGCUGCCUUCGGUCUGGCUCUGCCGCUCGCCAUCAGCCUCUUUCCACAGAUGUCACAGAUCAGCGUGGAUCAGCUGGAGCCAGAGAUCG